ACCUAUCUUUGUUUGAAAUACAGUCCGCAAUCCUCUAAUUCAUCUUAUCCAAACUCCUUCCUUUCCAGCGACGGCGGAGCACGGGCAGGUGACGGGCGGCGCCCUUGUCGUCGGACGGCUACAACCGCGGUGGAGGAGAAGGCAGACGUCGUGGGUGCGUGCUUGGGUAAGGGAGGCCACCCUUGCUGUGCUCGUGGGCGUUCAUGGAGGAUGGAAGGGGGGACAGCUUCCUGUGGGUGCGCCGGCUGUGCUCGUGGGCGUUCAUGGAGGAUGGAAGGAAAUUGGAGGCCUGACCUGUCCUUCUCCAACACAAAUUGAUGGAGCGCCCGACCUGGAUUUGAUUGGCUGCUAUUAGUAAGGGUCCUCGGCCGGAAUCUCCAUCAGGUCGUGCCCUGGGACCAUAAUCUCCAUCAUCCCGUCGAAAUUGCAAUUUUUGACCAAACGUCCAAUGUCACCGCCAAGUUCGCCGGAGGAAAAAGCGCCGAGUUCGCCGGAGGAACAAGAACAUCCGUCGAGCCGUGCAAUGUCUCCUAUGGAGGCUACACGAGAGGUACGUAUCCCCUUGAAAGCUAAUCACUCGAUGGUAUCCCCUGUUUUAGUCAUUGUUUCUGUCCCAUCACUCGAGGGAGUACUAAACAACUUUUCUCUCUGUAGUUUCUGGGGUUGUCCAACAUGUGUUUCUCAGAUUAAUGCCUUCAACACCCCUCUUUCCACAUGCAUGCAUGUAGUAGCAGAUUGCCUGAUCUGUUGGCCUAAAUAUUCUCUUUGCAGUGCUCUUAUUAUUAGUUCAGACUUGCAGACCCAUGUUUUUUGCUCAAAUCAAUCUGUCAAAACUCCAUUACAGUUGCACAAGACCUGAUAUGCAAACGUUUGCGUGGAGCUAACUUCUUUGGGCAUGCGGCCAGUGUGUAUGUGCAUAUUUUUCAGUAGAAUUAAGUGCCUGGUGCCACUUGAAAGAAUAAAAUAAUGAUCAGCUAUUUUUUGUUACAGUUACGAUUUAGUCAACAUUGAUGUCCUUCUGCAAAAAGCUUAUUUUGAUCUGGAGUUGCAAAGAUUUUUUACAAGCAUUUGUAGAAUGGGAUGCGCCGUCGCCGCCGCCAGCACGGUCCCAACAGCUGCCGCGAGUCUCCACGAUCGACGUCGCCGUCCGUCUGUGCCCCGAGCUCGACGGUUCUCCGGCUGACAAGCAUUCGUUCAUGUCCCCGCCAGUGUUAGGCGUUGCUCGCCACCGCCCCAGAUCGCUUUCGUGCGUCAUCGCCGCCCCAAGCUCCAUGAGCUAAUUGAAGAGGGAGUGCUUGGCCUGCUUCAUGUAUUGUCUCAAAACAACUUGCCGUGCCAUAUUUCUGUGCUUCAUGUAUUGUCUGAAUACUUGAGAGUUUCAAGGAUCCCAGAUGUUCCAAAGGAUGAGCAAAGUCAUGAAACGCUUCGAAUUGAUGAUUUCCUGCCAGUUUGGAGUAUGCCAGUACCACACCAAACAACUUUGCUGUAGGACACUGAAUGAAUAGACGAGAGCAAGUUUCUGUGGCUUGGAGACACAUGGGGCAGAUAUCUGAAUCAAGUAUGGUCUUGUGUAAAUUUCGAAAUGUGUUCAUUCUUCCGUUAUGCAGUAGCCAUCCAAAAAGAAUACAUUGUUGGGCACCCUUGAGGACCAAACCAGAGAGAGACUGGGAUCAUCAAUUCGUUGGUAUCUCUAUCCCCAACCAAACUAUGGAUCAUCCAACCUUCGGUCAGGUUCACUAUCUUCAAUCUUAGUGCUGCAUAUUCCUAUUUGAAUGAUACUUGGUGCAUAAAAUUAGUGAUUCAGAAAAAACAUUUUUUCUUUGUUACGAACAAAUAUGCAACUCUCCCAGAUAGAAGAUUACCACUAAAAGAGAACAACUAUUAGUCAUGGUAGGUGAAGUCAGAUUGUGUACUGGCAUUGUUGUAAUCUCUGUAUCCUAUUUCUUGCCACUGUUUGUGUUAUUUUGCUUACACAGAAUGGCCAUGUUUAUCUUAAAUUUCCUUUGUCAAUUGCCUUUAAACUAACAAAUCAGGGUAAUAAAUAGAAUGUGUUUGUUCCAUUACACAAAACUGUACCAUUAUCUAUUAUUGAAUAGUUGGAUCAUAAACUUUUCAUAAUCUUUUGUUGUAGAAGAGCAAUGUUCUACCUACUUAUAACUAUAUGUUAUUCUUGAGUUGUUAUUUGUAGAGUUAACUACCCAUAUCUUUUAUAACUAUACAUUAUUUGCUUAUAACUAUACAUUAUUUGCUUAUACUUGCCAGUAGUGUAGCUUUCUGCUGGACCAUAUAUCCUGCCAGGAGAAGUUUCAGUGACCAAUGGAAGCUUUGAUGUAUUCUUUUCAAGCAAAAGUAAUUGUCUAUUACCCAUGUCAGGUUUCGACUCAAAUUGUGGUGCUUCUGUUCUAUGCAAUUUUAUUUUCUUACUGAUGCUAUGUUCUGGCAUUCCUUAUCUUUUAUGCGUGAUGUGUGUCUUAGUGCUAAUAAGACCUAUUCUUUUCCCAAUGGUAAAUCCACCUUUUCCCCAUCAUGUGACUUAAAACUAACCUGUUUCGGUGUAGUUUUUCUUCUCUUUCUUUUACUGUAACAUAGACCAUGCUCACAUGGUCGCAACUUGUAAACAGAGAUGGAAACGUGCAUACAUAUCUCUCAAGCAUGCAAUAUUUUUCCAGGGUGACAAUUUUUUUA